GGUCUCUAACCCGGAGGGACCAACGGACACCCGCAGCCUUUCCGGGUGCAGCCGAGAUCAGCGGCAUGGUGUCUUCCGUCGUCCUUCGGGACAGGAGUCCAUAGGCCCCCAUACGGUUUCGUACUGACC
rnacentral:ncRNA from 1 species